rnacentral:snRNA from 1 species
GUGCUUGCUUUGGCAGCACAUAUAUUCAAAUUGGAAUAAUACUGAGAUUAGUAUGGCCUCUGCACAAAAAAAAGACAUGCAAAUUUGUGAAGUGUUCUGCUAAAAA